rnacentral:rRNA from 1 species
UACGUAGGGUGCGAGCGUUAAUCGGAAUUACUGGGCGUAAAGGGUGCGCAGGUGGUUGUGCAAGCUUGAUGUGAAAUCCCCGGGCUUAACCUGGGAAUGGCAUUGAGGACUGCACGGCUAGAGUGUAGCAGAGGGGGGUGGAAUUCCGCGUGUAGCAGUGAAAUGCGUAGAGAUGCGGAGGAACACCGAUGGCGAAGGCAGCCCCCUGGGUUAACACUGACACUCAUGCACGAAAGCGUGGGGAGCAAACAGG